UUGCUCCCUUCAGCAGCAUAUAUACUAAACUUGGAAUGAUACAGACAAGAUUAGCAUGGCCCCUGCACAAGGAUGACAUCUAAAGUCCUGAGGCAUUCCAUGUUUUU
ensembl:snRNA U6 U6 spliceosomal RNA